AGUCUACGGCAUACACAGCCUGAAAGCACCCAAUCUUGUCUGAUCUCGGAAGCUAAGCAGGGUCGGGCCUGGUUUGUCCUUGGAUGGGAAAAGAGUGAGCAAGAAGGCCCAUGGGUAA
rnacentral:rRNA from 1 species